CCGUUCCAGGGCCUCUUUCUUCUCUGGGUGGAUGUUGCCUUGUGCCAUGUGGGUCGACUUGUCCCAAGUCCAAUCCCACCUCUUCCCUGCUGCACCUGUCCUACAAUGUCUCCAUGCCUGAGAGCAGAUUUUGCUUACUGUACAGCCUCCGAUGGGGUCUACUUCCUCCCAGUUGCCAGUCUGGGAGCAGCCG